UACGGGGGCAGCAAGCGUUGUUCGGAGUUACUGGGCGUAAAGGGUGUGUAGGCGGUUCUUUUAAGUUUGGUGUGAAAUCUCCCGGCUCAACCGGGAGGGUGCGCCGAAUACUGAGGGACUCGAGUGCGGGAGAGGAAAGUGGAAUUCCUGGUGUAGCGGUGAAAUGCGUAGAUAUCAGGAGGAACACCGGUGGUGUAGACGGCUUUCUGGACCGUAACUGACGCUGAGACACGAAAGCGUGGGUAGCAAACAGG
rnacentral:rRNA from 1 species